rnacentral:tRNA from 1 species
GCCUUGGUGGUGGAAUUGGUAGACACGCGGGACUUAAAAUCCCGUGGCCAUUAUGGCCUUGCGGGUUCAAGUCCCGCCCGGGGUACCA